CCACAGAGUCCCACAGAGUCUUUACAGUGGUGGAACAGUCCACACUGCUCCACCAACAGUGGGGCUGGGUCCUCCUGUCCUGAGGACGCAGGAGAAUAAAGUUAGACAGCAGGUUGUUGGUGAGCUUGAGAGUGUCGAAGGAUACGGUCUGCUUCAUCCACUGGGCUCCAUGGGCAGGGAUAAAGUCCAUGAGCAGGACAUAUUCAGCAGUAGGAUCCAUCCCGGAGAUUUGAACCUGGAAUGUUGGAAACAUCCUCCUGCAGUUUGUGAACAUGUAAAUGACCAUAAUGUAGUCAGAGACAACAGAGAAAGAGGAAAAAUGAAGGAGUGCAUGAUAAGGUAAUGAGGAUAAUAAAUAUGAGUGUUAUUGUUACCUUCCAGCUUUGGUAACAAUCAUCUCUGUGCCCAGC